rnacentral:lncRNA from 1 species
AAAUUACGUGUCUACAUCAUGCCCCCUUUGAAUGUAAACACGCAGUGCUUUCAGACAAAGAAGUAGACAACGAGACAGAAUUUUGUCCCGACCAUUAUUCAAAGGAAGAAACAGAAGAAAGAAGGACUACCGGGUUUUGAAUUAGGACAGCCUACCCAACCAAGUUAUGAAAGGAUCGAGUGACAAGUAUCUCAACUUUUGGAAGGUGGUGGACUAUACCGAGUUGGAGAGUCGAGUGAGGUUCCGUCGAGGUUCCGGUCCGCGGCUCUGUCAUUACAUCAAAAAUGAAAAUUACAAGUUAAAACAUAAAUGAAAUUACAAAAAUCCUAUCUAUACANNNNN